GACGAACGCUGGCGGCGUGCUUAACACAUGCAAGUCGAACGGUGAAGCGCCUUCCUUUUUGGUGGGUGUGGAUGAGUGGCGAACGGGUGAGUAACACGUGAGUAACCUGCCCCCUUCUUCUGGAUAACCGCAUGAAGGUGUGGCUAAUACGGGAUAUUCUGGGUCUGUCGCAUGAUGGGUCUGGGAAAGAUAUUGUUUCGGUGGGGGAUGGGCUCGCGGCCUAUCAGCUUGUUGGUGGGGUGAUGGCCUACCAAGGCGGUGACGGGUAGCCGGCCUGAGAGGGUGGACGGUCACACUGGGACUGAGACACGGCCCAGACUCCUACGGGAGGCAGCAGUGGGGAAUAUUGCACAAUGGGCGCAAGCCUGAUGCAGCGACGCCGCGUGAGGGAUGGAGGCCUUCGGGUUGUGAACCCCUUUCGCCAGUGAAGCAGGCCUGCCUCGUUUGUGGGUGGGUUGACGGUAGCUGGAUAAGAAGCGCCGGCUAACUACGUG
rnacentral:rRNA from 1 species